CUCUCUCUCUCUCUCUCUCUGUUCCCUUUUACCAUUUUGUACACCUUAACUUUGCCAUAUAAGUGUGGUCAUAUUAUUAAUCAAAAUAAAAUUUGAAAAUUUCAUCUCUGGUUAACAGUCUGUAGUUGGGUGUCCUUAAUGUUAUAAUUUUUCUUUAACUAAUGAUGUUUGACUCGACAUUGACAUUUGUCACUUGGAAUCUUCUGGAUUUUGAUUACUGUAAUAGGUUUGCAUGCAAAUCCUGCAUUUGAAACUGACAGCCACUUGUCAUUGGUAACAUUGGUGGGACCUUGCUCAAAGGGCAGAGCUUUCUUGUGGGUGGUUUGAUGGUUGGAUGGCAAUCACUAUUAAAUGUGAUAGAUUGGGUUUUGAUUAGACGAAAUUUAAGACAAUAUAAGAGCACCUUGUUGUUCAACAUAAUAAACAAAAAAGAAGGGAAGGCCUAAUAAUGUAUUUUAAACCGUAUGAUGAUAAUAUCUUUGGCAUUGCAGUUAAAUCCUGUCACUUGAGAAUGGCCAUCUAUUCAGGUAUCCUUAGGGCUAAUGGUUGCACAACUUUUUAUUAUUUAUUUAUUUAUAUUUUUCUUUUCCCCAACUAUAGAAAAUAACUAUUUGUUAUUUGUUCUUGAGCUGUUUGUUGGCAUGAAUCUCAUCCAUUAUUUCUAGUAUGCAAUGACGAAAAGAAAGAAG
rnacentral:misc_RNA from 1 species